rnacentral:rRNA from 1 species
UACGUAGGGGGCAAGCGUUGUCCGGAAUCAUUGGGCGUAAAGAGCGUGUAGGCGGCUUGGCAAGUCUGACGUGAAAUCCCGCGGCUCAACCGCGGUCGGUCGUUGGAAACUGCCUGGCUAGAGUCCGGAAGAGGAGAGUAGAAUUCCUGGUGUAGCGGUGAAAUGCGUAGAUAUCGUAAGGAAGACCAGUGGCGAAGGCGGGUCUCUGGACAGUUCCUGACGCUGAGGCACGAAGGCCAGGGGAGCAAACGGG